rnacentral:rRNA from 1 species
AACAAACGCUGGCGGCGUGCUUAAUACAUGCAAGUCGAACGGGGAAAGCUUUCGGGUGUGUACUAGUGGCGUGCGGGAGAGGAACGUGUGGAUAAUCUGCCUUAGAGUUGGGGAUAACUUGUCGUAAGAUUAGCUAAUAUAGUAUAAGAUCACGACAGCUGCGGCUUUUGAGGUCAAAGGAUUUUUGCUCUAAGAGGAGUGCGCGUAAGCAUAUUUAGUUGGUGAGGUAACGGCUCACUAAGGCGACGGUCUUUAACUGGCCUGAGGGGAUGAUCAGUCACUCGGAAACUGAUACACGGUACAGACUCCUACGAGAGACGGCAGGAGAAAAUAGUGCACAAGGGAGAAGACUCUGGUACAACGGCGCCGCGUGGGAGAUCAACGCCUUCGUGGCGUAAAGCUCUGUCGCAGGACAAUAACACAAUGAAGGUACCCGGUAAAAAAGCAUCGGCUAACUUCGUG